UUUGUUCUCAUCUUAAAAACUACAUUUCGUAUGCAAGCCGGCGGGGCUCGCUCUGAGCACUCUAAUUUUUUCACAGUGAACUUACCGGCCGCCUCGAGCACUCGGCGAAGAGCGCCCUCGGAGGAACCAUGCGGUCCGAAACGACCGGGAGAUGGACGCGCUGCCGCAACGCGAACGGCGACGCCCGACGACG
rnacentral:lncRNA from 1 species